rnacentral:misc_RNA from 1 species
AACGCACAUUGCGCCCCCUGGUAUUCCGGGGGGCAUGCCUGUUCGAGCGUCAUUUCUCCCUCAAACCUCUGGUUUGGCGUUGAGUGAUACUCGGUUUACUUGAAAAACAUGAAAAGCAUAACUAUUAGGUUUUACCAACUCGUUAUACUAAUCUACAAGUUUGACCUCAAAUCAGGUAGGACUACCCGCUGAACUUAA